rnacentral:rRNA from 1 species
UACGUAGGGUGCAAGCGUUCAUCGGAAUUACUGGGCGUAAAGCGUGCGCAGGCGGUUAUGCAAGACAGAUGUGAAAUCCCCGGGCUUAACCUGGGAACUGCAUUUGUGACUGCAUGGCUGGAGUGCGGCAGAGGGGGAUGGAAUUCCGCGUGUAGCAGUGAAAUGCGUAGAUAUGCGGAGGAACACCGAUGGCGAAGGCAAUCCCCUGGGCCUGCACUGACGCUCAUGCACGAAAGCGUGGGGAGCAAACAGG